AACCCUCCUCUUUAUUUGCUCAUGUGGGAAUUGAUAUGUGUGUGAUGGAAAACCAAGGAGAUUUUGAGACCUUGUCUAGAAGCCGAACAUUUUGAUCAAAGCAUUUCGGCCAGUUUUGGGCUGUGGAGCACAAAGGCACUUCCAUAAUAAUAGUCAGUGGUGGAGAUCAAACAUCAUGGAUGAGACACAUACAUCUGGAGAUGAAUAUUUUUUUCCAGGAUUCAGUUCAGUUCAUCAGAAAAGAUCAGAAGCAGAGUCCACCUGUGUGUCUAUGAAGAGUAAUGCGUCUAUAAUGGAGCCAAUAAAUUUUAACAGUGGAGAUUCACGGCCUGAACUCAGGUAUAACAUGUGUAUAAAAAUAUGAAUAUAGCAUGACUCCUAAUAUUGUCAUAUAUUAUUACAGUUAAGUUCACAGGUUAUUUUUCAUAAACAGUAUAUAAAAUGAUUAUAAAAUGCUCUUUAAAAUG